rnacentral:tRNA from 1 species
GCAGCGUCGCCUGGGUGCGGGUGGCGUUCAGCCCCUUGGCCGCGGCGAUCUCGUCCGGAUAGGCGAGGUGCAUCAUC